rnacentral:tRNA from 1 species
UCCAAAAUAGCUCAUUUGGGAGAGCGUUAGACUAUAGAUCGAAAGGUCCCUGGUUCGAUUCCGGGAUUCGGCA